AUCCGGCUGACGAGUCCAAAACGGGUCGAAAUGAGCAUCCUGGAU
rnacentral:hammerhead_ribozyme from 1 species